GGGCGGAGGGCAAGACCUCCCUUCAUUUUCAAAGCUUUCUUUCCCAGUGCUUCCCAAACCCUACCGAGCAAACUGAAUCAGCUGAGGUCUUGUUAAAAUGCAUGUUCUAAUCCAAAAGGCCCGGGGUGGAGCCUGAAAUCCUGCAUUUCUAACAAGCUCUCAGAGGUAGUGGAGAGGAAGAAAUCAAAAUGAGAAACAACAAAAGAAAAAGAGGGCAGCUUUCUUUUAACGUGCCAGUCUCACGAGCCUCCUGCAGUUCGUGCUCAGAAGGUGACUGACGUGGCAAGCGCCCCAGUCAAGGUGUGAAUUGAUCCUGUUGACUGGAUACGACUCUGGAUCCUAGCAUUGCAGCUUUGAAAUGCUGAGAUGUUGACACCCAAUUCUGAGGAGAAAGAGACUGAACCCAUCACUUCGUGGAACUCAGCGUGUCUCCUCACCUCAAGAUAAAUGGAUUUGGGGUUAUUAGGAGAAGCACUGUUAACAUGAAGAUUAACACAGUCUGGAAGGCACUUCAUUCGGCAAUAUCAAUAGUGCAAGGCUCCUUCUUGGACCUUGUACAGGCCCCAGGCUAGCCCCCUGAGAUAGCUGAAGUGGAGUAGACUGCAGUAGCACCAGACCGUGAGUGUGGCUGACUGUGUGGAGUGUGAGCAUAUGCAAGGCCCCUUGGAGUCUUAUAGAAGUAUUUGUGGGGACCAAGAAUGAAGCGCCUUGAUGUUGAUGAGUCCUCUCUGUAGCCACAGGCAGUGAGGACUGACAGCAUUCGGGUUAUACACCAAAUCAUGCCAAUUGCUCUUGUGCAACAAUAUCCUUCCAUCCAAGAAAAAGGUCUACCAAGACAGUAGUUAGUUUCCAAGCUCAUGGGAGGCUGAAUAGCAGAAAAGAUACGAAAGCCAGCUCUAUAAUCAGACUGCCUGGGUUUCUUACUGUAAUCAGACUAACCAUGAAACCUUAACCUUUUGGUACCUUGGGUACCUUAUUAUAUGAGAAUAAUAAUAAAAUUUAAUUCACAGGUCUAUGAGAAUUAACAAGUAAAACUCAUGACAGCCUUAGAUCAGUGACAGACAUGUAUAAACCCCCAAAUGUCAGCAAUUUGUAUUACUACACAGUGUGCCAGGAUACUUAAAACAGCAUCAUGGAGACUGAUUCAGCUCAAUCUAGAAACAAAAGAACCAGGAGGAGGGCUGAUUGGUCUCUGGAUCUCCAUGAGGCUAGUGAAUCUAGGAGUUGAAAGAAGACAAUGAGAUUGCAACACUAUUUAUAACAGCCAGGAUAUGGAAGUGACCUAGAUGUCCAUCAGCAGAUGAAUGGGUCAAGAAGUUGUGGUCCAUAUGUACAAUGGAAUAUACUCAGCCAUAAAAAAAGAAUGAAUCUGAGCCCUAAUGAGGCAGAUGAUCCUAAAGCCUGUUAUACAGAGUGAAGUAAGUCAGAAAGAAAAAAACAAAUAUCCUAUAUUAACGCAUACAUAUAGAGUCUAGAAAGAUGAACCUCUUUGCAGGCGAGGAAUAGAGAUGCAGACAGAGAAAAGACUUGUGAGCACAGCAGAGGAAGGAGAAGGUGGGACAAAUUGAGAGAGUAGUGCUGAAACAUAUGCCUUGCUGCUGCUGCUGCUGCUAAGUCACUUCAGUCAUGUCUGACUCUGUGUGACCCCAUAGACGGCAGCCCACCAGGCUCCCCCAUCCCUGGGAUUCUCCAGGCAAGAACACUGGAGUGGGUUGCCAUUUCCUUCUCCAAUGCAUGAAAGUGAAAAGUGAAAGGGAAGUCGCUUAGUCAUGUCCGACUCUUCGCAACCCCAUGGACCGUAGCCUACCAGGCUCCUCUGUCCAUGGGAUUUUCCAGGCAAGAGUACUGGAGUGGGGUGCCAUCGCCUUACCGUAUGUAAAACAAUUGUGUCCGACUCUGUAACCCCAUGGACUAUAGCCCGCCAGGUUCUUCCAUCCAUGGGAUUUUCCAGGCAAGAAGACUAGAGUGGCUUGCCAUUUCCUUCUCCAGGGGAUCUUCCCAACCCAGGGACUGAACCUGGGUCUCCAGCAUUGAAGGCAGAUUCUUUACUACUGAGCCACAAGGGAAGCCCCAUAAAAUAGACAGCUAGUGGAAAGUUGCUGUAUAACACAGGAAGCUCCCUCUGGCACUCUGUGACAACCUGGAGGGAUGGGAGGGUGGUUCAAGAAUGAGGGGAUGUAUGUACAUGUAUGGCUGAUUCAUGUUAUUGUAUGGAAAUGCAAUUGUAUAUAGUAUAGAAAGCAAUGCAACAUUGUAAAGCAAUUAUCC
ensembl:lncRNA